rnacentral:rRNA from 1 species
GACGUAGGGCGCGAGCGUUGUCCGGAUUUAUUGGGCGUAAAGAGCUCGUAGGCGGCUUGUUGCGUCAGCUGUGAAAACCCGCAGCUCAACUGUGGGCUUGCAGUCGAUACGGGCAGACUGGAGUUCGGCAGGGGAGACUGGAAUUCCUGGUGUAGCGGUGAAAUGCGCAGAUAUCAGGAGGAACACCGGUGGCGAAGGCGGGUCUCUGGGCCGAUACUGACGCUGAGGAGCGAAAGCGUGGGGAGCGAACAGG